GGGCCUAAUACCUGGAAGUCGAGCGAGCGGAACUAACAGAUUUACUUCGGUAAUGACGUUAGGAAAGCGAGCGGCGGAUGGGUGAGUAACACGUGGGGAACCUGCCCCAUAGUCUGGGAUACCACUUGGAAACAGGUGCUAAUACCGGAUAAGAAAGCAGAUCGCAUGAUCAGCUUUUAAAAGGCGGCGUAAGCUGUCGCUAUGGGAUGGCCCCGCGGUGCAUUAGCUGGUUGGUAAGGUAAAGGCUUACCAAGGCGAUGAUGCAUAGCCGAGUUGAGAGACUGAUCGGCCACAUUGGGACUGAGACACGGCCCAAACUCCUACGGGAGGCAGCAGUAGGGAAUCUUCCACAAUGGACGCAAGUCUGAUGGAGCAACGCCGCGUGAGUGAAGAAGGUUUUCGGAUCGUAAAGCUCUGUUGUUGGUGAAGAAGGAUAGAGGUAGGAACUGGCCUUUAUUUGACGGAAAUCAACCAG
rnacentral:rRNA from 1 species